AUGGCUCAGAACGAACGCUGGCGGCGCGCUUAAGCAUGCAAGUCGGACGGCAAGAUUAGAGCUUGCUCUGAUCCUAGAGUGGCGGACUGGUGAGUAACGCGUGGGUGACGUACCCUUUUGACGGGGGAUAGCUUUUUAGAAAUAAGAGAUAAUACCGGAUAAGCUCUGCAUUGUUAGAGGGUGCAGAGGAAAGGUUCUUUAGAACCGCGAAAGGAACGGCCCGCGUACUAUUAGCUGGUUGGUGAGGUAACGGCCCACCAAGGCGAUGAUAGUUACCCGGCCUAAGAGGGUGAUCGGGCACAUUGGGACUGAGAUACGGCCCAGACUCCUGCGGGAGGCAGCAGCUAAGAAUAUUCCGCAAUGCACGAAAGUGUGACGGAGCGACGCCGCGUGGAUGAUGAAGGCCGGAAGGUUGUAAAAUCCUUUUAUACGUGAGGAAUAAGUGGAGUGAGAGAAACGCUUCAUGGUGACUGUAGCGUAUGAAUAAGCAACGGCUAAUUACGUGCCAGCCGCCGC
rnacentral:rRNA from 1 species